rnacentral:rRNA from 1 species
GACGAACGCUGGCGGCGUGCUUAACACAUGCAAGUCGAACGGAAAGGCCCUGCUUUUGUGGGGUGCUCGAGUGGCGAACGGGUGAGUAACACGUGAGUAACCUGCCCUUGACUUUGGGAUAACUUCAGGAAACUGGGGCUAAUACCGGAUAGGAGCUCCUGUUGCAUGGUGGGGGUUGGAAAGUUUCGGCGGGUGGGGAUGGACUCGCGGCUUAUCAGCUUGUUGGUGGGGUAGUGGCUUACCAAGGCUUUGACGGGUAGCCGGCCUGAGAGGGUGACCGGCCACAUUGGGACUGAGAUACGGCCCAGACUCCUACGGGAGGCAGCAGUGGGGAAUAUUGCACAAUGGGCGGAAGCUUGAUGCAGCAACGCCGCGUGCGGGAUGACGGCCUUCGGGUUGUAAACCGCUUUCGCCUGUGACGAAGCGUGAGUGACGGUAAUGGGUAAAGAAGCACCGGCUAACUACGUG